UUUUCCUAUACCUUCCUUUGGUCCUUAUAAGUAUCCAAAUUGCCCUAAAAUAACUUCUGCACAUGCAGCAUUAGGAAGCAGUGUUUCCCAACCACUACAUUUGAAUGAUUCAUUCCUCUGAGGACCCUCAAGUACUUCAGAAGAACUAAAAAAUGAAUAUCACGUUACACCAAAGAAGAAAUGAAAGCUGCCAGUGUCUUCUGAAGUUAAACAGGCUCCUGUUCUUUGACCCAGCAAUCCAAUCCUAGGUAUUUAAUUGUUCCCUGAGGUUUAAGGCAGUGGACUGAGGAUAAUACAGGCUCCAGCUUUCAUUAGUUCAAUGGAUGAUGCUGUUCAAUCCAUACUGUUUGGGGCAUUUGUUGAAAAUGUCAUUCAGAAGAUAUCAACACUUUCUGAGUCAUGGUUUGAUUGAAUUUAUAGAAUUAUGUGAUAGAAACCACAUUCUUCACAAAAGUCACAAGGCAAUAAUGACGACAAGGGUUGAAGAUGAAAGAUGCCAAAUAUUCUGAUCAAUUCAAUAAGGCAAAAAGACAAGUUAAUUCACUCAGUGCUCCAGGCAUCAACUUCAUAGAAGGAAUGGAAAUUCUACCUGUUUCCUAAAGAACUACAGAGGUGUACACCAAACGGAGGGCAAAUGCUGUUACCACUCAUCGUGCAAGACUUUUGAGGCAAUUUGGACAUAGACAAGUGAUGGGAAAAUUGAAUCAUUAUAUGGCUCAUGACAGUGUUGAAAACUCAAACAUCCAAGGACCUGUACCUUUGCUAAGUGCCAUGCAUAUGUUGCUGAUAAAGAU
rnacentral:lncRNA from 1 species